CAAGAACAAGAUAUCUGUUUUUUGGGCUAAGUACCGAAAUUUGGCAUAAAAAAAUGAGAUAAAGUCCCUGGAAAGCAAUUGCAACGUACUCGUCCAGAAAAAUUUUUGACCUAAAAAGUUUUCGACCGGGGGGGGAAGUUGUUCUCCGGAAAAAAAUUUUUCCGGAAAAAUUUUUUGGAUAGGGGCCCCUAAAAAAAUUUUGCCCCGGGCCCCCGCCAACCUCUCGGCGGCCCUGAGUCGCUUUGCCCGCGCGGGCGGAGCGAACAUUACUCAACUUUCUCUGUAGUUGCCUAACCUGACGCCAUGGAAGUAGAACUACAUCAACUUUCUUGGCGAUAUUCCCCGAUAAUCAUCGAGCCUGAGGAGAAUAAAUUGUUUUAGUAUUUUUACACUACAAAAGUUGGCGCAUAUUUUAAUUAAUCUAACAUAAAACUCCUUUCAUAUAUUUUUAGUGACCUCCCAAACAGUCAAAGAGAAAGAGAUCAAACGAAAGAAAACCCAAGCAUUAGAAGACGUGCUAAAAACAUAUUUUCAGCCAUUAUAUUUUCAGCCAUCAUGAAAAACACUUACGAAAACCGAAAGGGGUUAAAAACUUAUAUAGUUCAAAUUAUUGUUAAAUAUUCAGUAUAACUUCUAAAUAAAGAUAUAAUAUAUCAUUAUAUCAGCAUUAUGUUGAUAUGUCAUAAAAAUGUCAG